UGCAGCCUUGUCGAAUUCUGUGCAACCCCCUCGGUGGGCUUCACUGGCCAAAAUGGCUGCUACAGGAAGGAGGUAGUCCAUGGGCCCCAUGUUCUAGUACUGUGGACACUGGGCAUAAAUAAGGCUAUGUACAAUG
rnacentral:snoRNA from 1 species